CCUACGGGAGGCAGCAGUGAGGAAUAUUGGUCAAUGGCCGGAAGGCUGAACCAGCCAAGUCGCGUGAGGGAUGACUGCCCUAUGGGUUGUAAACUUCUUUUAUAUGGGCAUAAAAUAUGCCACGUGUAGGAUUUUGUCUGUACCUUAUGAAUAAGCAUCGGCUAACUCCGUGCCAGCCGCCGCGGUAAUACGGGGGAUCCGGGCUUUAUCCGGAUUUAUUGUGUUUAAGGGUAGCGUGGGCGGUUUUUUAAGUUAGUUGUUAAAUGUUGGGUUUAAACCUUAAAUUGCCGUUGAAACUGUAAGACUUGAGUACAGACGAGGUGGGCGGAAUACGUGAAGUAGCGGUGAAAUGCUUAGAUAUAACGAAGAACUCCGAUAGCGAAGGCAGCUUACCGGACUGCAACUGACACUGAGGCACGAAAGCGUGGGUAGCAAACAGGAUUAGAUACCCGGGUAGUC
rnacentral:rRNA from 1 species